rnacentral:rRNA from 1 species
UACGAAGGGGGCUAGCGUUGUUCGGAAUUACUGGGCGUAAAGCGCGCGCAGGCGGUCUUCCAAGUCAGUGGUGAAAGCCCGGAGCUCAACUCCGGAACUGCCAUUGAAACUGUUGGACUUGAGUACGAGAGAGGUGAGUGGAAUUCCCAGUGUAGAGGUGAAAUUCGUAGAUAUUGGGAAGAACACCGGUGGCGAAGGCGGCUCACUGGGCUCGUAACUGACGCUCAGGCGCGACAGCGUGGGGAUCGAAACAAGG